UACGUAGGUGGCAAGCGUUGUCCGGAUUUACUGGGCGUAAAGAGCGCGCAGGCGGUCGGAUAAGUCGAAUGUGAAAGCCCCCGGCUCAACUGGGGAGGGUCAUUCGAUACUGUUCGACUUGAAGGCAGGAGAGGGAAGCGGAAUUCCCGGUGUAGUGGUGAAAUGCGUAGAUAUCGGGAGGAACACCAGUGGCGAAGGCGGCUUUCUGGCCUGUUCUUGACGCUGAGGCGCGAAAGCCAGGGGAGCAAACGGG
rnacentral:rRNA from 1 species